GUUUCUGUAGUUGAAAUAACAACGGCGAUUUUUCGGGUCGCAAGUUUUGGAGAAAAGCCAAGCAGAAAUU
rnacentral:tRNA from 1 species